rnacentral:rRNA from 1 species
CUACCAGACUCCUACGGGAGGCAGCAGUGGGGAAUAUUGCACAAUGGGGGAAACCCUGAUGCAGCGACGCCGCGUGGGCGAUGAAGUAUUUCGGUAUGUAAAGCUCUAUCAGCAGGGAAGAAGAUGACGGUACCUGACUAAGAAGCCCCGGCUAACUACGUGCCAGCAGCCGCGGUAAUACGUAGGGGGCGAGCGUUAUCCGGAUUCACUGGGUGUAAAGGGAGCGUAGACGGCCAUGCAAGCCAGGGGUGAAAGCCCGGGGCCCAACCCCGGGACUGCCCUUGGAACUGUGCGGCUAGAGUGCGGGAGGGGCAGGCGGAAUUCCUGGUGUAGCGGUGAAAUGCGUAGAUAUCUGGAGGAACAUCAGUGGCGAAGGCGACUAUCUGGCACAUAACUGACGCUGAGGAGCGAAAGCGUGGGUAGCAAACAGGAUUAGAUACCCCUGUA